ensembl:snRNA U6 U6 spliceosomal RNA
GUGCUUACUUCGGCUGUACAUAUACUAAAACUGGAACAAUACAGAGAAGAUUAUCAUGGCCCCUGUGCAAGGAUGGCAUGCAAGUUCCUGAAGUAUUCUAUAUAUUU